rnacentral:tmRNA from 1 species
GGGGCUGACUUGGAUUUCGACAGAUUUCUUGUCGCACAGAUAGCAUGCCAAGCGCUACUUGUAAAACAGCAACAAAAAUAACUGUAAACAACGCAGAUUACGCUCCAGCUUACGCUAAAGCUGCGUGAGUUAAUCUCCUUUUGGAGCUGGACUGAUUAGAAUUUCUAGCGUUUUAAUCACUCCAUAACCUUAAGCUAGACGCUUUUAAAAGGUGGUUCGCCUUUUAAACUAAGAAACAAGAACUCUUGAAACUACCUCAAGGUUUUAGAAAGUUGGACCAGAGCUAGUUUUAAGGCUAAAAAACUAACCAAUUUUCUAAGCAUUGUAGAAGUUUGUGUUUAGGACAAGAUUUUUGGACUGGGGUUCGAUUCCCCACAGCUCCACCA